CCCCGCACCCACCCCGCCGCAACCCACACGCUGCUCUCGCCGUUAUUCCCCGAGAUAAUCGACGAAGGCACCACCACCUCCUCCACCAUCUCGCCUCGAGAAGCUUCCACUAGGGCUACUCGUCUAGGGUUUGGUCUCCGGGACUUCUCCCUGCGGCAGGCGAUCGUAAUGGAGGGCGGCGGCGCGGAAUCAGCACCCGCGGCGGCGGCCGAGGUGAAAAACCCGAGGUGCUUCAUGGAUAUCACCAUCGGCGGCGAGAUGGAGGGGAGGAUCGUAAUAGAACUCUACGCGUCCGUGGUGCCGCGGACGGCGGAGAACUUCCGCGCGCUCUGCACUGGGGAGAAGGGCGUCGGCGCCGCCACCGGCAAGCCGCUUCACUUCAAGGGCUCUUGCUUCCAUCGCGUUAUUAAAGGUUUUAUGGUUCAAGGUGGAGAUAUAACUGCUGGUGAUGGUACAGGAGGAGAGUCAAUCUAUGGAUCCAAAUUUGAGGAUGAGAAUUUUGUUUUAAAACAUGAGAGGAAAGGAAUGCUUUCAAUGGCUAAUUCUGGUCCCGACACAAAUGGUUCUCAGUUUUUCAUCACUACUACCCGGACACCUCAUUUAGAUGGGAAACAUGUUGUUUUUGGUAGAGUGAUAAAGGGAAUGGGGGUAGUUCGCUCUAUCGAGCAUGUCCCUGUUGGAGAAGCUGACUGCCCUACUCUUGAUGUGAAAAUUGUUGAUUGUGGGGAACUUCCUGAAGGCGCUGAUGAUGGAGUUGUGAACUUUUUCAAAGAUGGCGACAAAUAUCCAGAUUGGCCCAAUGAUCUUGAAGAGAAGCCUGCAGAGGUUUCAUGGUGGAUGGAUGCUGUGGAGUCAGCUAAAGCUUAUGGGAAUGACAAUUUCAAGAAACAAGACUAUAAGGCGGCUCUCAGAAAGUACAGGAAAGCUUUGCGCUACUUGGAUGUUUGCUGGGAGAAAGAAGAGAUUGAUGAAGAGAAGAGCACAGCACUACGGAAGACCAAGUCAAUAAUACUCACUAAUAGCUCUGCAUGCAAAUUGAAGUUGGGAGAUUUGAAGGGUGCUUUGUUGGAUGCGGAUUUUGCACUGCGUGAAAGGGAGGGAAAUGCUAAGGCUUUUUUCCGACAAGGACAGGCACACAUUGCACUUAAUGACAUUGAUGCAGCAGUGGAGAGCUUCAAGCACGCACUGGAGUUGGAGCCAAAUGAUGGUGGAAUCAAAAGAGAACUGGCUGCUGCAAAGAAGAAGAUUGCUGACAGAAGAAAUCAGGAGCGGAAGGCGUUUGCUAGGAUGUUCCAACCUUCUGGAAAAUCUGAUAAGAGCAGCGAAGAGAACAAUUGAUCUUGCAGUUUCUUCCCCCCGGCAGAAACUCUGGUUAGUUGAAUCUGGGACACAUACCGGGACAGGAGUAACAAGGGAAUCUGUGCUGCAAAAAUGAAGAUUCCCUAUCUUAGAUAGAAGGAAACAUAGUGGGGGAUGAAAGCUUUUGUUUUCUUUUACUACAGAAACUAGCAAUUCGUGCAUGUGUCCCAGUGUUGUUCUUCAUGAAAAACCUAGGACAUUGAACUUAACAGUGCAAUUUUCAGACGUUGCAGUAAGUCAUGCCAAUAGACCGUUCCAUUUUGUGUGGACUGGGGACCGUUGUGUCGAACCUGACGAUUCACACCUUUUGUGCGCUUGUUUCACUUU